rnacentral:rRNA from 13 species
UUGCAGUUAAAAAGCUCGUAGUUGAACUUCAGGCCUGGCCGGGCGGUCUGCCUAACGGUAUGUACUGUCUGGCCGGGUCUUACCUCUUGGUGAGCCGGCAUGCCCUUUACUGGGUGUGUCGGGGAACCAGGACUUUUACCUUGAGAAAAUUAGAGUGUUCAAAGCAGGCCUAUGCCCGAAUACAUUAGCAUGGAAUAAUAAAAUAGGACGUGCGGUUCUAUUUUGUUGGUUUCUAGGAUCGCCGUAAUGAUUAAUAGGGAUAGUUGGGGGCAUUAGUAUUCAGUUGCUAGAGGUGAAAUUCUUGGAUUUACUGAAGACUAACUUCUGCGAAAGCAUUUGCCAAGGA